rnacentral:rRNA from 1 species
AUUGAGCGCUGGCGGCAUGCCUUACACAUGCAAGUCGAGCGCGAAAGGGGGGCAACCCCCGAGUAGAGCGGCGGACGGGUGAGUAAUACAUCGGAACGUACCCAGUAGUGGGGGACAACCUCGAGAAAUCGAGGCUAAUACCGCAUACGACCCACGGGUGAAAGCGGGGGACCGCAAGGCCUCGCGCUAUUGGAGCGGCCGAUGUCCGAUUAGCUAGUUGGCGGGGUAAGAGCCCACCAAGGCGACGAUCGGUAGCUGGUCUGAGAGGACGACCAGCCACACUGGGACUGAGACACGGCCCAGACUCCUACGGGAGGCAGCAGUGGGGAAUUUUGGACAAGGGGGGCAACCCUGAUCCAGCCAUGCCGCGUGCGGGAAGAAGGCCUUCGGGUUGUAAACCGCUUUCGGCCGGAACGAAAUCGCCCGGGUGAACAUCCCGGGUGGAUGACGGUACCGGAAGAAGAAGCACCGGCUAACUACGUGCCAGCCGCCGCCGUAAGAC